rnacentral:misc_RNA from 1 species
AAAAUGGGUUGCAAGACUCGAAAACCAUCGCGAAUACAUACCUUAUAGUUGUUGCUUCGGCGGGUGGCCCCGGGGUCCGGGGCCUGAAGCCCGCAAGGGCGCCCGCCGGAGGGCCGCAAUACUCUGUUUUCUAGCGUAUCUCUGAGUGGAUUAGCGAAACAAGUUA